rnacentral:rRNA from 1 species
AGAAAGCCUGAUGCAGCGACGCCGCGUNNUGGAUGACGGCCUUCGGGUUGUAAACCUCUUUCAGUAGGGAAGAAGCGAAAGUGACGGUACCUGCAGAAGAAGCACCGGCUAACUACGUGCCAGCAGCCGCGGUAAUAUN